rnacentral:rRNA from 1 species
AUUGAACGCUGGCGGCAGGCCUAACACAUGCAAGUCGAACGAGUGGCGGACGGGUGAGUAAUGUCUGGGAAACUGCCCGAUGGAGGGGGAUAACCACUGGAAACGGUAGCUAAUACCGCAUAACCUCGGAUGUGCCCAGAUGGGAUUAGCUAGUAGGUGGGGUAAAGGCUCACCUAGGCGACGCUCCCUAGCUGGUCUGAGAGGAUGACCAGGCACACUGGAACUGAGACACGGUCCAGACUCCUACGGGAGGCAGCAGUGGGGAAUAUUGGACAAUUGGCGCAAGCCUGAUGCAGCCAUGCCGCGGGUAUGAAGAAGGCCUUCGGGUUGGAAAGUACUUUCAGCGGGGAGGCGUUACCCGCAGAAGAAGCACCGGCUAACUCCGUGCCAGCAGCCGCGGUAAUUC